UGAGGAAUAUUGAGCAAUGGGCGCAAGCCUGACUCAGCAACGCCGCGUGGACGAUGACGGCCUUCGGGUUGUAAAGUCCUUUUCUGAGGGACGAUGAUGACGGUACCUCAGGAAGAAGUCCCGGCUAACUACGUGCCAGCAGCCGCGGUAAAACGUAGGGGGCGAGCGUUAUCCGGAUUUACUGGGCGUAAAGCGCAUGUAGGCGGUUGGGAAAGUUGGACGUAAAAGCUCCCGGCUUAACUGGGAGAGGUCGUACAAAACUACCCGAGUUGGGGUUGGAAGAGGAGAGUGGAAUUCCCGGUGUAGUGGUGGAAUGCGUAGAUAUCGGGAGGAACACCAGUGGCGAAAGCGGCUCUCUGGACCAAUACUGACGCUGAGAUGCGAAAGCGUGGGGAGCAAACGG
rnacentral:rRNA from 1 species